UACGGAGGGGGCUAGCGUUGUUCGGAAUUACUGGGCGUAAAGCGCACGUAGGCGGACUGUUAAGUCGGGGGUGAAAUCCUGGGGCUCAACCUCAGAAUUGCCUCCGAUACUGGCAGUCUCGAGUGCGGGAGAGGUGAGUGGAAUUCCCAGUGUAGAGGUGAAAUUCGUAGAUAUUCGCAAGAACACCAGUGGCGAAGGCGGCUCACUGGCCCGGUACUGACGCUGAGGUGCGAAAGCGUGGGGAGCAAACAGG
rnacentral:rRNA from 1 species